UCCUGACUGUUGGCUUGCCGGCUCCCAGCCUCCCCACGCCGUGUUCUUCCAGCCUGGGCCCCGACAUUACUGGCGCUGCGGCACCCUCGGCUCAGACUGCGGGCGCUGGUCAGCGGCCGGAGCGCCGGGAGCUGCACGGCCCUCCGCGGGGUGGGAUCCAGGGGCGAGCCUGGCCAGGAGAGCCCUGCGGCCUCCGUCCCCGGUCUUGUCUGGCGCGCGCCGUUAAACACAGAGCGGAGCAAAGACGGAAGGAAAUGGUAGCCGAGCACUGAGCGAGGGCAGAGGGAAGUCAUUUGCCCGGGUUUGGGCGCAGGUUGGCGCCGCUCCUGCAGGCGCGCGCCAAGUCUGCACCGAAAGACGCGUCCCAGUUAAAUGACCUCGGAAGCAGUAACCGCCGGCGUCUGACGAGGGGCGCACGGAGGCGGCGCAUCAGCAGCCCUCGGGCGGGCGUAGGCCCGGGUUCUCGCGGAAAGCUGUGCACUCGGCGCCCUGAAUCUCGCUGCUGCCUCCGGCUGCCUCUGCCUCCCUCUGUCGACCCUCACCUUUCAUCUAGCGCUGGUUUUCCGAGGUCCGGACCCAGCGCUAUGCCGAUUUACCUGGGGCGGUGCAGCCCGCGGCCAUGACUCGCCGGCUUCUAAUCUCAGGGGCCCCAACAGCCACGGAACCGCAUCACGAUGCCCGUAACGGUCACCGCUCAGUGCUGCGCCCUAGGCGGUGGGCAAGGCAGCGAGUUCGAUUUCCUUCCAACACUGAAGAGUGCAAGCUGGAGUGUUGUGGAGUGUUGUUUAUUCUCAAAGGGGGCGGGGGACACAGUCUUGAGGAUAACCACGGGGACCUCUCGGUUGAAAUCCUAGCACUCUUUCGGAUGACCCCACAAGAGCACAGAGGAGGACCCCUGUGGCUGUGAUUCGAACAAAGGUUCCGGGCCACACUGGUAUAAUUUACAGUGGAGAUGGGUAAAUAACUUUUCAGGAUUGCUUGGGCUGCUAUUUUGAAAUGAGACAGAAGAGGAUCAAGGCCCAAUGCAGGAAGACCCUUUAGGAGGCUACUCCGUGAUCCAGGGCACCUAGAACAAAACUGAACUUUUAUGACGUUAGGCUGUCUCCUCACAACUUGAUGAUGCCUUCAGGCUCUAGUGAGGGAGCUUCCCGGACCAGAGCUGGGACCCAUGUCCCCUGCAUUGGCAGGCGAAUUCUUAACCACUGCGCCACCAGGGAAGCCCCAUACUUUUCACUUCAGUUACACGAGUCUGCUUUCGGUUGCCCAUAUACCCCAUUCCUCCACAUUCCUGUGUCUUCACAUCUUUGCUAAUGCUCUCCUCUUUGCCAGGAGUGCUGUUGCUCAAACUCUCAUUUUUCUCUCUCCCAACAUUGCCUGGUUAACUCCUACUCAUCCACUAGAUCUAAAAUCAAAGGUAAUUUCCUCCAGGAAGCCUUUUGGAGUUAAGUGCCCCUUUUCUCUUUCCCAUAAUACCCUAUUAUCACACUAACAGUACACCCAUUUUCAUCAUGGGGCUGUGAGUGUCUUGAGAUUACAGACUCUUAUUAGUCUUAGUCUACCCAGCGCUGGCAUAUACACCAUGCCUGGUACACAAGAGGUACCUUUUGUUUUAGUGUCAUC